ACAACAGGUAGUGACUAGGGCUUUAUAACAACAGGUAGUGACUAGGGCUUUAUAACAACAGGUAGUGACUAGGGCUUUAUAACAACAGGUAGUGACUAGGGCUUUAUAACAACAGGUAGUGACUAGGGCUUUAUAACAACAGGUAGUGACUAGGGCUUUAUAACAACAGGUAGUGACUAGGGCUUUAUAACAACAGGUAGUGACUAGGGCUUUAUAACAACAGGUAGUGACUAGGGCGUUAUAACAACAGGUAGUGACUAGGGCUUUAUAACAACAGGUAGUGACUAGGGCUUUAUAACAACAGGUAGU